CUUCCAGUAGCACCUUAGAGACCAACUAAGUUUGUUAUUGGUAUCUGAAGAAGUGUGCAUGCACACGAAAGCUCAUACCAAUAACAAACUUAGUUGGUCUCUAAGGUGCUACUGGAAG